UAACAAUAUAUUUCUAAAGUUUUGAGUCAUUCCCGUUCAUUUGAAGCGUAAUUUCCCCCUUACUGUGGCUAGUUUGGAUGAGAUGACUUGACCCUAGCUAGCAUAACAUAAAUGGCAGCUAGCUCUACACUAUUUCGGGCAUUCGUUAACAAUCAGUGUUCAGAUAACUAGCGCAAACGUGCCGAGAUAUCUUGUUUAUUAUAAAAAUAAACGCUUGUGUUGUGCCAUGGCUUAUAUGGUGAUGACGUUUGAGAUUGUAAAUUUACGGGCCACAGAUGUGUCUAUGGUAAGGCCGACCUGACGAGAUAGCUGCCUACUGAGGUUUGAUUGGAUAUGGACAUUGUUUAUUUCAGAAGGAAAAUGUUUGGAGUGGAAUUGUUUGGAAGACAAUCUUGGGACAAUUUUGCUCUUUGGGUCUUUGUGCCAACCAUGCCAGCUAUCGUAGGGUGCUCUGGGAACUUCUUAGAUCUGUUUACUGUAUGUACACUUACUGAAAUAAGCAUUUUGUUUACAUAAAAUCCCUUGUCAUUUCACCACUAGGUUUGAAACCCAGACAGCACGAAGCAUCUUGCCGACGUCAAAAUCAGAUCAACAGACAGGGACAUCAGCCUUCUCUUGGGAAUAGGCCAGAUAUGCCAUAACAAGAAAUGGUGUGUUGCCCCUGCGGUUGUGAAGAGGAUGCUGUGGAGGUGGCAGCAUGAACGUGUCACACAGACAUUGGCUAAACUACUCGGCUUCUACACUUGCCCUCAGAGUUCACAUAUGGUGAAGUGCACAGGUGUCCAGUCAGGUUCAGACUGAUGCUGGUAACAAGAGGAAAACAUGCUAAUUGAUGACCUUUCCAGCAUGUCCAACUCAUCAGCAUCAGGGGAGGAGAGUCGGUGAAGGUGGUGCACCAUCCAGGACCAGUCAUGGGCCACCAACACCUCUGCAAAAUCUGCACUUCUUGUGAACCCUCUAGAACAGUGGUUCCCAACCUAUGGGUCGGGACCCCCCUUAUGGGUCGCCAAAGAUCCACAGGGGGUCGCGGAGCCCUCUUGAUUUUAAGGGGUUUCGUUUUAAAUAUAUAUAGCCCAUGUUGAAUAAAAGACAAAGCAUUUAACUAAUAAAUGCAUAGACGCAACAAAUUGUAAGUGCUACAUUAAACAUUUAUUCUAUAUUUGACCAAAGACGAAUUGAGGAAUAAAAUAACUAAAAUAAGUUUUCGCAGGAAACGGAGGGCAUCUUGUG